rnacentral:rRNA from 2 species
GGAGGAAAAGAACUAACAAGGAUUCCCCUAGUAACUGCGAGUGAAGCGGGAAAAGCUCAAAUUUAAAAUCUGGCAGUCUAUGGCUGUCCGAGUUGUAAUCUAGAGAAGUGAUGCCCGCGCUGGACCGUGUACAAGUCUCCUGGGAUGGAGCGUCAUAGAGGGUGAGAAUCCCGUCUCUGACACGGACUACCAGGGCCUUGUGGUAUGCUCUCAAAGAGUCGAGUUGUUUGGGAAUGCAGCUCAAAAUGGGUGGUAAAUUCCAUCUAAAGCUAAAUAUUGGCGAGAGACCGAUAGCGAACAAGUACCGUGAGGGAAAGAUGAAAAGAACUUUGGAAAGAGAGUUAAACAGUACGUGAAAUUGCUGAAAGGGAAACGCUUGAAGUCAGUCGCGUUGGCCAGGGAUCAGCCUUGCUUUUUUGCAUGGUGUACUUUCUGGUUGACGGGUCAGCAUCAAUUUUGACUGCUGGAAAAAGGCUUGAGGAAUGUGGCAGCUCCGGCUGUGUUAUAGCUUCAUGUCACAUACAGCAGUUGGGAUUGAGGAACUCAGCACGCCGCAAGGCCGGGUUUCGACCACGUUCGUGCUUAGGAUGCUGGCAUAAUGGCUUUA